CUUUUCACUUCAGCAAAGUUGGUUUUAUUAGCUCUACUUCCCCCAGUUUGGUAGUAAUCCAGCUCACAAAUCCAUCCUUACAGCCUACUAAUCCAUGUUACAUCCUACUAGUUAACGAUUGUCUUCUAAAUGAGGAAUGCCUUCCAAUUAUUUUUAUGUGCAAAUACAAUACUGCAGGUGCUUAAACAUCAAUAAUGGUAAAAACAACAUGGUAAUUGCUCUAGACUGAAUGUUUGUAUUUCUCUCAAAUUCAUAUGUUGAAGCCCUCAACCCCAAUGUGGCUGUAUUUUGAGAUAGAGCAUUUACAGGAGUAAUUAAGGUUAAAUGAGUCCACAAGGGUAGGGCUCUGAUCCAAAAGAAAUAGUGUCCUUAUAACGGGAGGAACCAGAGAGCUCUCUCUCUCUGCCAUGUAAGAAUACAGUAAGAAGGUUGCUGUCUACAAACUAAGAAGAGGGCCCUCACCAGAAUUCAAUCAUGCUGGCACCUUAUCUUGGACUUUCAACCUCCAGAAUUGCAAGAAAAUAAAUUUCUGUUCUUUAAGCCA
rnacentral:lncRNA from 1 species